CCUACGGGGGGCAGCAGUGGGGAAUAUUGGACGAUGGGGGGAACCCUGAUCCAGCCAUGCCGCGUGUGUGAAGAAGGCCCUCGGGUUGUAAAGCACUUUCAGUGAGGAAGAACGCCUGGUGGUUAAUACCCAUCAGGAAAGACAUCACUCACAGAAGAAGCACCGGCUAACUCCGUGCCAGCAGCCGCGGUAAUACGGAGGGUGCGAGCGUUAAUCGGAAUUACUGGGCGUAAAGCGCGCGUAGGUGGCUUGAUAAGCCGGUUGUGAAAGCCCCGGGCUCAACCUGGGAACGGCAUCCGGAACUGUCAAGCUAGAGUGCAGGAGAGGAAGGUAGAAUUCCCGGUGUAGCGGUGAAAUGCGUAGAGAUCGGGAGGAAUACCAGUGGCGAAGGCGGCCUUCUGGACUGACACUGACACUGAGGUGCGAAAGCGUGGGUAGCAAACAGGAUUAGAUACCCCAGUAGUC
rnacentral:rRNA from 1 species